rnacentral:rRNA from 1 species
CCACCACCAAAGCAUUCUCUGGUGUUGAAGGCCCUGCAAAGCAGCAUCGCGGUGGCGGAGCGUCGUUUGCGACGCCCAACACACAAAACAAGCGGUGAAUGCUUUGGGGUGGGGUGACUGCGUACCUUUUGUAUAAUGGGUCAGCGACUUAUAUUCUGUAGCAAGGUUAACCGAAUAGGGGAGCCGGAGGGAAACCGAGUCUUAAUUGGGCGUUAAGUUGCAGGGUAUAGACCCGAAACCCGGUGAUCUAGCCAUGGGCAGGUUGAAGGUUGGGUAACACUAACUGGAGGACCGAACCGACUAAUGUUGAAAAAUUAGCGGAUGACCUGUGGCUGGGGGUGAAAGGCCAAUCAAACCGGGAGAUAGCUGGUUCUCCCCGAAAGCUAUUUAGGUAGCGCCUCGUGAAUUCAUCUCCGGGGGUAGAGCACUGUUUCGGCUAGGGGGCCAUCCCGGCUUACCAACCCGAUGCAAACUGCGAAUACCGGAGAAUGUUAUCACGGGAGACACACGGCGGGUGCUAACGUCCGUCGUGAAGAGGGAAACAACCCAGACCGCCAGCUAAGGUCCCAAAGUCAUGGUUAAGUGGGAAACGAUGUGGGAAGGCCCAGACAGCCAGGAUGUUGGCUUAGAAGCAGCCAUCAUUUAAAGAAAGCGUAAUAGCUCACUGGUCGAGUCGGCCUGCGCGGAAGAUGUAACGGGGCUAAACCAUGCACCGAAGCUGCGGCAGCGAACGUAUCACCCAAGACAACUUUACGGAGUUGACGAUUGACGGAGCGAAGCGACGUCAAAGCGUUCAUUAAAGUCGAGUUGGCUUAGGGAUACGUUCGUUGGGUAGGGGAGCGUUCUGUAAGCCUGUGAAGGUGUGUCGUGAGGCAUGCUGGAGGUAUCAGAAGUGCGAAUGCUGACAUAAGUAACGAUAAAGCGGGUGAAAAGCCCGCUCGCCGGAAGACCAAGGGUUCCUGUCCAACGUUAAUCGGGGCAGGGUGAGUCGACCCCUAAGGCGAGGCCGAAAGGCGUAGUCGAUGGGAAACGGGUUAAUAUUCCCGUACUUGGUGUUACUGCGAAGGGGGGACGGAGAAGGCUAUGUUGGCCGGGCGACGGUUGUCCCGGUUUAAGCGUGUAGGUGUGUGUUCCAGGUAAAUCCGGUUCACUUUAACACUGAGGCGUGACGACGAGGCACUACGGUGCUGAAGCAACAAAUGCCCUGCUUCCAGGAAAAGCCUCUAAGCAUCAGGUAACACGAAAUCGUACCCCAAACCGACACAGGUGGUCAGGUAGAGAAUACCAAGGCGCUUGAGAGAACUCGGGUGAAGGAACUAGGCAAAAUGGUGCCGUAACUUCGGGAGAAGGCACGCUGACACGUAGGUGAAGUGAUUUACUCAUGGAGCUGAAGUCAGUCGAAGAUACCAGCUGGCUGCAACUGUUUAUUAAAAACACAGCACUGUGCAAACACGAAAGUGGACGUAUACGGUGUGACGCCUGCCCGGUGCCGGAAGGUUAAUUGAUGGGGUCAGCGUAAGCGAAGCUCCUGAUCGAAGCCCCGGUAAACGGCGGCCGUAACUAUAACGGUCCUAAGGUAGCGAAAUUCCUUGUCGGGUAAGUUCCGACCUGCACGAAUGGCGUAAUGAUGGCCAGGCUGUCUCCACCCGAGACUCAGUGAAAUUGAACUCGCUGUGAAGAUGCAGUGUACCCGCGGCAAGACGGAAAGACCCCGUGAACCUUUACUAUAGCUUGACACUGAACAUUGAGCCUUGAUGUGUAGGAUAGGUGGGAGGCUUUGAAGUGUGGACGCCAGUCUGCAUGGAGCCGACCUUGAAAUACCACCCUUUAAUGUUUGAUGUUCUAACGUGGACCCGUAAUCCGGGUUGCGGACAGUGUCUGGUGGGUAGUUUGACUGGGGCGGUCUCCUCCUAAAGAGUAACGGAGGAGCACGAAGGUUGGCUAAUCCUGGUCGGACAUCAGGAGGUUAGUGCAAUGGCAUAAGCCAGCUUGACUGCGAGCGUGACGGCGCGAGCAGGUGCGAAAGCAGGUCAUAGUGAUCCGGUGGUUCUGAAUGGAAGGGCCAUCGCUCAACGGAUAAAAGGUACUCCGGGGAUAACAGGCUGAUACCGCCCAAGAGUUCAUAUCGACGGCGGUGUUUGGCACCUCGAUGUCGGCUCAUCACAUCCUGGGGCUGAAGUAGGUCCCAAGGGUAUGGCUGUUCGCCAUUUAAAGUGGUACGCGAGCUGGGUUUAGAACGUCGUGAGACAGUUCGGUCCCUAUCUGCCGUGGGCGCUGGAGAACUGAGGGGGGCUGCUCCUAGUACGAGAGGACCGGAGUGGACGCAUCACUGGUGUUCGGGUUGUCAUGCCAAUGGCACUGCCCGGUAGCUAAAUGCGGAAGAGAUAAGUGCUGAAAGCAUCUAAGCACGAAACUUGCCCCGA